rnacentral:rRNA from 1 species
AUUGAACGCUGGCGGCAGGCCUAACACAUGCAAGUCGAACGAGUGGCGGACGGGUGAGUCAUGUCUGGGAAACUGCCUGAUGGAGGGGGAUAACUACUGGAAACGGUAGCUAAUACCGCAUACUAUCGGAUGUGCCCAGAUGGGAUUAGCUAGUAGGUGGGGUAAAGGCUCACCUAGGCGACGAUCCCUAGCUGGUCUGAGAGGAUGACCAGCCACACUGGAACUGAGACACGGUCCAGACUCCGACGGGAGGCAGCAGUGGGGAAUAUUGCACAAUGGGCGCAAGCCUGAUGCAGCCAUGCCGCGUGUAUGAAGAAGGCCUUCGGGUUGUAAAGUACUUUCAGCGGGGAGGCGUUACCCGCAGAAGAAGCACCGGCUAACUCCGUGCCAGCCGCCGCGGUAAUAC